GAUGAACGCUGGCGGCGUGCCUAAUACAUGCAAGUCGAGCGAACAGACGAGGAGCUUGCUCCUCUGACGUUAGCGGCGGACGGGUGAGUAACACGUGGAUAACCUACCUAUAAUACUGGGAUAACUUCGGGAAACCGGAGCUAAUACCGGAUAAUAUAUUGAACCGCAUGGUUCAAUAGUGAAAGACGGUUUUGCUGUCACUUAUAGCUGGAUCCGCGCCGCAUUAGCUAGUUGGUAAGGUAACGGCUUACCAAGGCGACGAUGCGUAGCCGACCUGAGAGGAUGAUCGGCCACACUGGAACUGAGACACGGUCCAGACUCCUACGGGAGGCAGCAGUAGGGAAUCUUCCGCAAUGGGCGAAAGCCUGACGGAGCAACGCCGCGUGAGUGAUGAAGGUCUUCGGAUCGUAAAACUCUGUUAUUAGGGAAGAACAAAUGUGUAAGUAACUAUGCACGUCUUGACGGUACCUAAUGAGAAAGCCACGGCUAACUACGUG
rnacentral:rRNA from 1 species